rnacentral:lncRNA from 1 species
CCCUCCUACCUAUUCGGCUGAAAGGUUGGUUAUGAAUCACCCGAGGCCAGUUCGUAAUGAAAUUUUCGAAGAUAUCAUUCCUCCUCCGGGGGAUAAUGGAGUACCGGAGUUCACUUACACGGGGGCUACAAGCCCUUACCUAGCAAAAGAUUCUGCAUCAAAGGAGUUGUUUAUGAUUUUCCGAAACAUUAGGGUAUCUCUUAAGCAGGGUGCUAAUUUUGCCAUUCGAUGUUGGACUACCAAGUCAUGUGAGACUGAAGGAUUCCGAGUGUUCAAGUUGGAGGGUAAUAUUAAUGGUCCUCGGUGGGUAGAGAUUGUCGACCUCGGCGAUCGGAUAUUGUUUCUUAGUCGUCUCACCAACAAGUUGGUCUCUUCCGGCAAUGGUCUUAGUUGUUCCUGCAGUGACAAUAAGGAACUCGAAAGAAACUGUAUCUAUUAUGCUUUCGGUUUGCGAUCAGCAUUUUUUCUGCGUCAUCAGUUUGGGGUGGAUACGUUGAAAACUUUUCGUCACUUUGGGGUGUAUUCUUUGACAAAUAGGAGCAUCAAGCAGCCUCAUGUUCUUCCAAAGAAUCAUGCCAGAUCCUUGCACAGACAAUUUGCUUGGAUCACACCAAAUCCAAAUCUUUGGUAGCUAACCCUAGAUAGUUGCUCAAAAUUGUAGCUAUCGCGAUCAGAAAAGAAACCUAUACGAGGUUGGAUACUUGGAUUGCCAAUCUGCCAUUCAUCAGAAAGGCUGGGGUGGAGCAUAAGAUUGACUUCUAUGAAUCAAAAAUGCCUUGUUAGCCCUAACUGAUCUCGUCAACGACGCAAGUUCGUAAUUUGCGAUUUUGUAGUCAUAAUGUAUGGAACUUUAACUUCAUUACUAGUGCAAUAUAUGACGAACUAAAAUAAGAAAUUCACACGUAGUAUUCACCGAUUCAAUUAUAGCUAGCUAGAGCGGCCAGAGGUAGUGCCUCUAGUAAUUAAGCUUAAUUCUUGUCUCGUUGGUUUUUGUUUAUGUAUAAUUGUAUAUGUAUUGCGGGAGUGGAUUCUAAGCACCAAUGUGCACUUGCACUAUUAAUAUAUAAUUGCUCAAAUCGUUGUAUGGAAAGAUCGAAUGAAGACUAGAGACCCCUAAAUUCUUUCCUUUUAUUUUCAUUUUUGAUCCGAUCAAAUUAAACGCCUAUAAUAAAAGUACAUUUUCUUCGACCUAGUGUUCUCACCUCCUUAGUUAGAAACACUUGGGACUUUUUUUUUUUUUAAAUUUUGUUAACGGUAUUAGUAUAUAUGCAUAUAGUGCAACGUAGAUGGUUGGAUCAAAAUACUGCAUAUUAGUUGCUCGGUUCACAUGCAUCUUGGUACGUAGAAGAAUUUUCGAUGUAAUGCUCUGAGUUGAAUGAAUCGACUAUUUUACAUUCUUGGUGCUUAGAUAAAUAAUCUAAUCAUCUGAUGAAUCAUCAUCAUCAUACUCAUUUUUCAAAUCUUCAACUCACCCCCUUCAUGAAUAACAUGUUAGCACAAGAUUUUGUAUAUGAUUCGUUGACAUUCUUAUACAAGCGUACGUUUCAUCAGUAUAUAAGCCUUAUUUGCUGGGUCUAUGUGUCUUUAUGUUGGGCAUGUGUGUCUCUUUUGUUAGGGUUUAUUGUACUUGUAUUUUGGUGUAUCAUUUGAAACAUCUAAUACAAGGGCCUUUAGUGCCUUUGACCCAAAAAAAAAGUACCUCAUUCUGAUGUCAAAAAUAUCUCAGGUAAAUGUAUAUCAUGUAUCUGCAUCAUAUGCACUGGGAUCGAUUGAAUCUAUGUUUCAAUCCCGAGUACGUCGGGCUGAUUAAUUUGGUCGUCUUUAUUUUAGAAAGUAUCUUUCUUGAUUUGUUUGUGAUUUUUAUCAGCUGGUCAAAACUGAUUCAGAAUUGCUUGUGUUUAAUUGCAAAUCCUUUAAAAAAGAUUGUUUUCUUUUUUUAGGAUUAGGUUGAUGAUAUCUAAUUAUAUAUAUAAAGGUCGACGUGCCUUGGUAAAGAUCUUGCAAAACCUACCGUACCUUACAAGUUUCAAUGGCGGUCAUUAGAAAGCUGCUGAGUAAUAAGAACAAACAGAAAAAAUAUGAUUGCGAAGAAGAUCGUGAUGAAGAGAUCAGAACAAGAAGUUGCUCCAAGGAAUUCCUAGAAGAUAUCAUGAGGCUAAUUCUACCACAGCUAUGCAAAUCAGAUUACCUUUCAUGCAGAGUAGUAUGUCAUUCUUGGCGAGCCGCUGUUGAUAAGGCUAUUGAGAGCAAGAACUGCCUUCCUGCUUCUCGACUUCCAUGGCUAAUUUGUCUUGAUUCUCGUCGGCGAUUUCGGGCCAAAGACCAUUGCUUUGUUAAUCAAAAACUUUACAAGUCAGUGGGGAAGUUAGACCGGCUGACUGCUUUUGUUUCUUUUUCUAGGCGCAAAUUAGUCGGGUCAAUUGAGGGGUGGUUGAUCAUGGUUGAACAUAAAACUGUCUACUUCUUGAAUCCAAUAUCGGGUGCCCGAGUGAUGCUCCCAUCGGGAUCCACCAUUCAUUCCUUCAAGAAAGCAGUAGCUUCUACUGUACCAACCAGGUUGCAGCAUUGUCUUGUUGCUAGCCUAAGUAGAAAACACCGUUUGGCCUUCUGUAAGCCAACGGAUAAAUCUUGGACCAUUAUUGAGGUUGAAGGUGAAGAGGAUGAACUCGAGUUUGAUGAUAUCGAAAUAAUCGAUGAGAAACUAUAUGCUGCUACUCACCUUGCAUCAGAAUCUUUAAUGGUGUUUCACAUUUCAUAUGCCGACGGCGGCGGCCCUCCUACCUGCACGGCUGAAUGGUUGGUUAUAAAUCACCCGAGGCUAGUUCGUGAUCAAAUUUUCGAAGAUAUCAUUCCUCCUCCGGGGGAUAAUGGAGUACCGGAGUUCACUUACACGGGGGCUACAAGCCCUUACCUAGCAAAAGAUUCUGCAUCAAAGGAGUUGUUUAUGAUUUUCCGAAACAUUAGGGUAUCUCUUAAGCCGGCUACUUGUUUCGACAUGACUGCUAAGUCAUGCGAGACUCAAGGAUUCCGAGUAUUCAAGUUGGAGGGUAACAU